rnacentral:rRNA from 1 species
GGUUAAGCGACUAAGCGUACACGGUGGAUGCCCUGGCAGUCAGAGGCGAUGAAGGACGUGCUAAUCUGCGAUAAGCGUCGGUAAGGUGAUAUGAACCGUUAUAACCGGCGAUUUCCGAAUGGGGAAACCCAGUGUGAUUCGUCACACUAUCAUUAACUGAAUCCAUAGGUUAAUGAGGCGAACCGGGGGAACUGAAACAUCUAAGUACCCCGAGGAAAAGAAAUCAACCGAGAUUCCCCCAGUAGCGGCGAGCGAACGGGGAGCAGCCCAGAGCCUGAAUCA